AUACAGGGGAUGCAAGUUUUAUCCGGAAUUAUUGGGCGUAAAGCGUCUGCAGGUUGAUAAUUAAGUCUUUUGUUAAAUCUUUGGGGCUCAACCCAAAAUCUGCAAAAGAAACUAUUUAUCUUGAGUGUGGUAGAGGUAAGGGGAAUUUCCAGUGGAGCGGUGAAAUGCGUAGAGAUUGGAAAGAACACCAAAAAGCGAAGGCACACA
rnacentral:rRNA from 1 species